GAUGAACGCUGGCGGCAUGCCUAACACAUGCGAGUCGAUCGGUAAGGCUCUUCGGAGUACACGAGAGGCGGACGGCUGAGUAACGCGUAGGAACACACCCUGCAGUGAGGGAUAAGACACCGAAAGGUGUUCUAAUACCGCAUACGGUCUUCGGAUUAAAGCAUUUAUGCGCUGAAGGAGUGGCCUGCGUCAUAUUAGAUAGUUGGUGAGGUAAUGGCUCACCAAGUCGAUGAUGUGUAGCUGGUCUGAGAGGAUGAUCAGCCAGACUGGAACUGAGACACGGUCCAGACUCCUACGGGAGGCAGCAGUGAGGAAUAUUUCACAAUGAGCGAAAGCUUGAUGGAGCAAUGCCGCGUGCAGGAUGAAGGCCCUCGGGUUGUAAACUGCUUUUAUAAGAGAAGAUUAUGACGGUAACUUAUGAAUAAGGGACGGCUAACUACGUG
rnacentral:rRNA from 1 species